AAACCUAAAGGCGUAAUGAAAGUAAAGGUUUUCCUCGCGAAAACCAAGGGAAGAUGGGCGGUUCACCGUUAAAAGUGGCCGUUCCGCACUCCCGGGGCGUCUCGUUCUCAUCGCGAGAAGAGGCGCACCAAGAGCGUACACGCUGGGACCCGAAAGAUGGUGAACUAUGCCUGGUCAGGACGAAGUCAGGGGAAACCCUGAUGGAGGUCCGUAGCGAUUCUGACGUGCAAAUCGAUCGUCGGAACUGGGUAUAGGGGCGAAAGACUAAUCGAACCAUCUAGUAGCUGGUUCCCUCCGAAGUUUCCCUCAGGAUAGCUGGCGCUCGUUGCGUACGARUCUCAUCCGGUAAAGCGAAUGAUUAGAGGCAUUGGGGUCGAAACGACCUCAACCUAUUCUCAAACUUUAAAUGGGUGARAUCUCCGGCUUUCUCGAACACACUAAGUUAGUUGAARCCSCGAGACACGGAUCARARUGCC
rnacentral:rRNA from 1 species